rnacentral:rRNA from 1 species
UGACAGUACUCCUACGGGGAGGCAGCAGUGGGGGAAUAUUGCACAAUGGGCGCAAGCCUGAUGCAGCCAUGCCGCGUGUGUGAAGAAGGCCUUCGGGUUGUAAAGCACUUUCAGUCGUGAGGAAGGUAGUGUAGUUAAUAGCUGCAGUAUUUGACGUUAGCGACAGAAGAAGCACCGGCUAACUCCGUGCCAGCAGCCGCGGUAAUACGGAGGGGUGCGAGCGUUAAUCGGAAUUACUGGGCGUAAAGCGCAUGCAGGUGGUUUGUUAAGUCAGAUGUGAAAGCCCGGGGCUCAACCUCGGAAUAGCAUUUGAAACUGGCAGACUAGAGUACUGUAGAGGGGGGUAGGAAUUUCAGGUGUAGCGGUGAAAUGCGUAGAGAUCUGAAGGAAUACCGGUGGCGAAGGCGGCCCCCUGGACAGAUACUGACACUCAGAUGCGAAAGCGUGGGGAGCAAACAGGAUUAGAUACCCCUGGUAG